rnacentral:rRNA from 1 species
AUGGGUCCACAGCACGUACUCCCCAUCGGCUUCGGCUUUGCUCCUUUCCGUCGGAGGCGGCACGUCAAGAAACAUACCCGUCCUAGCCGCAAGCUUGCGCGUAAAAAACAUACCUGUCGGGUAGCUAAUAUCUAUUUUGACAAGAGGAUGAGCCUGCCUUCUAACAGCAACAGCAGCCAGGAGUUGGCACCUGAAGUCAUAGCUAAGGCGCGGGAUGAUUGGUUUAGGAGAAUUAUGGAGGAAUGUGUUAAAGCUGCUACAUGUCCGGAGCUUAAUGAAGGGCGUGCACUUCAAUCGAGUGCGCGGGGAGGCACAGGUGGAGAAGUUUGUUUUAUCAAGAGUGCUCGUCAGGGUUCCCGUCCAAGAAAGAGGCCAGCACCAGAACAGCCUGUGGACUAUUUAGCUAGAAAAAGGCAACUGACUGCUGGGGCCCAUUGUGAAGCAAACACAGCUCAAGAAGUUUGUUUUACUGAGAGUGCUCGUCAGGGUUCCCAUCCAAGAAAGAGACCAAUGACAGAACAGAUGGAGGACUGUCUAGCUACAAAGAAGCAACUGACAGCUGGGGAUAAUGGUGAAGCAAGUGUCAAAGCUCAGUCGUCCUCGACAGUCUGA